CCCAAAAGCAAGAGAACUAAUUUUUUCAAUUGAAACACAAAGUAAUUAGGCGGCAAUCCCCAAUAUACUACCCAAAAGAAAAAGCAAACUCCAAAAAAAGAAAAAAAAAAAAACUAAGAGCAAACUGAAGGCGAGAUUGAAACCCCACAAAAGCAAAGCAUCGUCGCGCCUUAACCACCGCCUUCCCCCUAUCUCCUCAAUUUACUGCCGACGCCUUUCCCACCGCCUCCAGGCUUCCGAUGAAUGUCGUAUGUCCCGUCGCUUCCGUCAAUUUCGAGGGAAUACCACCGCCGCCAUAAGGUAUGCGAGAGGCACUCUAAGACGUUGUUGUUAUUAUUGUUGCUGGGAAGGAUUCGUCGUUCUGCCAGAAGUGUAGCAGGUAAAAGAAUGAUACUCCUUCUGUCUCAAAAGAAAUGUCAUUAUUACCCUCUACAGGCUCUAAGCCGGCCUAAUUAGGUGAAAUUAUGAAAUUAUUAUCUUAUAACUAAACUAAUUGAUAUGCUAUUGACCUCGUUUAAGGUAUUGUGCGCCUUGUGACCUGACGUUUUCAUUGAGCUGAUAAGAAACCACUUUAUAUAUUAACUUAUUGGUGUUGAUUGUAGAAAAGGUUGUCCAUAUGAAAAUGUAGGUACAUGGAGUAAUGAUUUACAGUGUUGAUUGUAAAAAAGAUUACCCAUAUGAAAAUGUAGGUACAUAGAGUAAUGAUUUUACAGUGUUGAUUGUAGAAAAGUUGGUCCAUAUGAAAAUAUAGGUACAUAGAGUAAUGAUUUUAUAGUGCUGAUGCAUUGAUUCUACUGCAUAACCUGUGAUUUGCUAUAUCUUUGGUUUGUUUUUCCUGUCAUAGUAUAUACUGCAAUCCCUUAGGUUUCGGUCCCUUGAAGAGUUUGACGAGGUUAAGAGAAGCUGCAGAAAACCGUUGGAUGGACAUAAUUGACGUAGGAGGAACAGACAGUCUGAAGCAUUUUACAUGUGUAGUUUUGCUGCUGGCUUUUUGUCAUCUCAUACAGCAGAUGGAAUGCUCCAUCAGUUUUGCUGCCCACAAACUCAAACUGUAAACUGGCCUACAAUGUCAUAGCCUCCUAAUCUGUACUUUAGAAUUAAUCAAGAAACAAUUUAUGAGCCACUUCUGAAUGGGGUUGCCGUUGGUCAAACCGUAAGCAGGACACUGAUGGUUUCAGCUGACGACUCGGGAUUUGCUCUCUCUCUUCUGUCAAAGUAUUCAUCAGAUAUCUGUGUGGAACCUGCUAUGCAACCAACACCUAUGAGUUCAUCAACAGGUCAAGGUCAAGGUGGAUGAAGAUGCUACCGUUGGACUGGAAGCCUUUUCUCGAAUACCACAUGUUGUGCCGGUAAUUGCAAAUGCGGGGUUUUCCCGAGUUUAGCCUUGUGAUUUAAACGUUAUCUUAGCGCAGUUUCAAAGAAGAAAAGUAAACAAGAGCUUGUGUAUGAAAUUACAAGAUACAACUGAAUUUACCGUAUAGUAGAAAAACAUUCAUUUGAGGCGUCACUUUUAUAUUCAUUAGCGGCGUUUUAGGCGUAGCAGCAAAUAGAGUGGCAGCAAAUGAAUGGCACUGAUUUGCGGCGUUAAAAAACGCCUCAAAUUAAUCAUUCAUUUGCGACGUAAUGUAGAAAAAACGCCUCAAAUGAAUAGUAUUGUAUGGCGGCGUUUCUACCCA